GCUCUGUUAGUUUAACGGUAAAACGAUUGAUUCGUAAUCAAUUGAUAUCAGUUCAACUCUGAUACGGAGCU
rnacentral:tRNA from 1 species